GCCAGUGUGGUGUAGUGGUUUGAGUACUGGACUAUGACUCUGGAGAUCAGGGUUUGAAUCCUAGUUAAGGCA